rnacentral:lncRNA from 1 species
GGAGUUAAUAACUGCUCUGUUUGUUCACUUACUUGGUCUUCUAUAUAUACCUGUUUCUUCCCAAAUAGGGAGCCCAGAAUUUAAAAAACUAAUUAUUUGUUGACCACAGCAAACUAAUUAUUGUUUCCCAAUGGUAUUCUAAGUUUUCUCUUUAGUUAUCCAUACUAUUAUUAUUUCUUCUGUCCUUUUUUCACUGUUACACCAGAGUGGAGGUUGCAGUGAGCUGAGUUCAUGCCACUGCACUGCAACCUGUGCGACAAGAGUGAGCUCUGUCUCAAAAAAAAAAAAAAAAAAAAAAGUUCAAAUGGUCAUAUUUGUAGUCUGUUUUUAAAAUCAAGUAAUGGAAUAAAUAGGUUUUUAGAGAUAAUGGGUUGGAGGCAAUUUGGAAGGUUUAUUUAGGUUGUCAGAAGACUAGUGUUGAGGGUGAUGGUUUGUGGGGAUUUAAAAAAUCCUCAGACUAUUUGAAAUUAGGGUAGUAACAAGUCCCAGGAUAUAUGUAUGAGUUUAACAUCUAUGUAGAGAUUAAAAUGUAGAAGCAUGUCUAAUCAACUUUUUUUGGCUGUAUAAUGUCCUAUAACUUAGCUGUUAACUGCUUAACUCACUGCUGAGUACAUAUUGAACGUGCAAUAUAUAUUUUAUUUCUGG